CUAACAAGGAUUCCCUUAG
rnacentral:snRNA from 1 species